CCCUGGCCUGGCGUGGAAUUACCUUUACUUGGUCCACACAACGUCCCCCGACUUGCACGCGUGUGACAAGAGAAAGAGGAGGAAAACUACUCGUUCCAGCAGUGCACCGUUACUGGUAAUACAAUAAACGCAUACAUUUGAUUUGAGUCUGUCACACCCGGUAUUAAUUUAUGGUACUUGUAAAAGUUAGCUGCUCUUUUAUUCUCUCAUUUACGUUCUCGUGGUACAACGAACUUGCCGCUCCCUCUCCGAGUUGAUCUCCAUUCUUUUCACAAGAGCAGCUCUGUGGUCAAUGCCUGCUCAGAACUAUUUGUUGUAGCGGCAAUCAAAGAUACGACACCCCGUGACUGCCAUCAGACUCGCACACACACACACACCUGCAAGGAUUUGAUGUCAUGUCAACGAGCAUAACAGUCCUUCCUAGCAAAGAGGGUCCACCUGUUCACGUAAAGGUGAGCAAUUUGUCGACGUUUACAGCGGAUUAUCCCCCUCGACCUCCUUAUGUCAACAAAAGUCGCCGAUUAACUGGGGAAAUGGCCACCCCUCCCCCGUCCACUGACGCCGGUCCCUCACGUUCGUUUUAGAUCUCAAUCUCCAGAUCGCUUGCUCCAAAAUCGGAGUCCGACAUGUCAGAGUAAUAAUAAAGUUCUAGAUGAGGGUGGUCUUUGGGACAAAAAACAAUCUGAAGACCCCCCCACCAUCAGUUUUGCUGAGUUUUAAUGAACUUGCAGCGGCGUCCGCUGACUCUUAAGAAUGGCCCAGUGCAGAGGAUGUGGACCCACCUGUGCUUGCUGCCCCACUGGCUUUUGUAAGAAGACCCUGGUGAUGCCACCUCUUAGGCGUGUCGCUGGCAUAUUAAUCUUUUGUUUUGAGAAAAUACCCUCCGAUAGACUAACAUGUUUUAGUGAAAACUUGAAGCCAUGCCCACCAUUGCUGAGGCAUUUCACGCAGAAGUUGUCAAGCUGUGGCGUUGGCUUCAUUUCGACGUUGUGUCUUGUCAUCUGUGUCACUAGCACAACGUCGUUGUUGUGCGGUGGUCUUCUGUAGUGAGAAGUGAUGGGAGACUGAAACGUAAAGGAGUUAAAAUCUUAAAUAAUGGAUUGAUGCCUCAGAAUAUGAAGAGAUGGACGAAAGGAUGACAAAACUGGUAGAUGAAAGGUUCAUGAAGUGAAGGAAAGGAUGGGUGGAGUGUUCAAAAAUGAAUGAGUAAAGGGAUGAAUGAGAACUCCAGGAUGGUUCAGAAAACUGGUAGAUGGAAAGUUCAGGAGAUGAAUGAGUAAGGAGAUGGAAGAAAACUCCAGAAUGGUCCAGAAAACUGGAUGGAUGGAUAGAGGCAAUGAGGUUCAGAAUAUGACUGAAUAGAAGGUAAAAAACAAUAAAUAAAUGAGUAGAAAAAACUACCGGAGGAUGGAUAAUUCAGAAAACUGAUGGAAUUGAGAUUGAAACAUGGAGGAAUUAAACUCUUAAAUAAUGGAUGGAUGGCUCAGAAUAUGGAUGAAAGGAUGACAAAACUGGUAAAUGGAAAGUUCAGGAGAUGAAGGAAUGGAUGGGUGGACUUUUCGGAAAAUGAAUGAGUAAGGAGAUGGAUGAAAACUCCAGAAUGGUCCAGAAAACUGGAUGGAUGGAGGCUAUGAGGUUCAGAAUAUGGCUGAAUAGAAGGUAAAAAACAAUAAAUGAAUGAGUAGAUGGAUGGGCGAACAGUUUACAAAACUAACCAAGGAUGGAUAAUUCAGAAAACUGAUGGAAUUGAGAUUGAAACAUGGAGGAAUUAAACUCUUAAAUAAUGGAUGGAUGGCUCAGAAUAUGGAUGAAAGGAUGACAAAACUGGUAGAUGGAACGUUCAGCAGAUGAAGGAAUGGAUGGGUGGACUUUUCAGAAAUGAAUGAAUAAGGGAAUGGAUGAAAACACUGGAAUGGUUCAGAAACUUCACAACUUCAGAAGUGGUUUAAAACUGAUGGACGGGGUAUUGAAACAUAAGUUGAUUCAAGUUUUAAAUGAUGGAUGGAUGGGGUUCAGCACAUGGAUGGAUUAACGAUUAAUGAUUAAUUAAUUAAUCAGAAACUGGGAGAUGGAAAGUUGGUGAACUUUUCAGAAAAUGAAAACUGGACGGAUGGAUGGCUGGCUAUAAGGUUCACAAAAUGGAUGUAUGGAAGGUAAGAAAUAAAUGGAUGCCAAGUUUGGAAAAUGAAUGGAUGAGUGGAAGGAAAAAAAGAUUAAAAAAAAAAAUGGAUGAAUUGAAGGCUCCAAAAUGGAAGGAUGGCUGGAUGGUUUAGAAAAAGGAUCAGCAGGUCGAAGGUUGAAAGGUUUUUGAAAGCUAAGGAGGAGGAGAAGACAGAUGGGCUGCUGAGAAUGAGGAUGAACAGAUGGAGGGAUGGAAGGUUCAGAUAAGCCAGGAAGGGCCGGAUGGAGGAAUGGUUCAGAAAAGUGACAGAAGGAAGAAUGGAUGGAUAACGGGUAGAGGCAAACUACACGUAAACGUCUAAUAAACUGAUUUACAUGUUAAAAGUGUUUGUUUAGUGGCAGCCAUCUUGUGGAGUACGAGAUUCAGAAAUGGGGGGUGAAUGGAAGGUAAAAAAAAAAGAACUGGCAAGACUUAGAAAGUGAGUGGCCGGUUGAUUGGUUGGUUCAUGAAAUCAAUGAGUUAGAUGGAUGGAUGGAUAGUUACAAGGCUAAAAAAAGGAUGGAUUGGGUGAAUAUCACAGUCGGAAAAUGAGCGAAUGGACGUGUUAAAAAGUGUGGGACUCGUGGAGGAUUCAGAGAAUGGACAGAUGGCUAAACGGCAAACUGCUAAAGAGCCAGCCUAACAAAAAAAUGGAUGGAUGGAUGAAUGAGUGGUUCAGAAAAGCGAUGGAGCGAUGGAUGACAGGUCUGGUAGGCGUACUCCUGGAGAGGCAAUGUCUAUAAACAGAAAUCGUGGAGCCACGUUGACCGUUGAAGUGUUCAUUUCAUGGCAAUUUUCCUGAAGUUUAAGGGUCAGAAUGGGGGGGUGCGAAUGGAAGGAACCAAAUAAAUGGCAAGGUUUAAAAAGUGAGAGAAUGGUUGGUUGGCUUAUAAACUCAACGAGUAGAUGGAUGGAUGGUGAGAGAGGCAACUAGAGUAGUCAGAAAAUGAGCAAACGGACGUGUUUUCAAAAAAAAAAA